rnacentral:rRNA from 1 species
AUUGAACGCUGGCGGCAUGCCUUACACAUGCAAGUCGAACGGCAGCAUGAUCUAGCUUGCUAGAUUGAUGGCGAGUGGCGAACGGGUGAGUAAUACAUCGGAACGUGCCCUGUAGUGGGGGAUAACUAGUCGAAAGAUUAGCUAAUACCGCAUACGACCUGAGGGUGAAAGUGGGGGACCGCAAGGCCUCAUGCUAUAGGAGCGGCCGAUGUCUGAUUAGCUAGUUGGUGAGGUAAAGGCUCACCAAGGCGACGAUCAGUAGCUGGUCUGAGAGGACGAUCAGCCAGACUGGGACUGAGACACGGCCCAGACUCCUACGGGAGGCAGCAGUGGGGAAUUUUGGACAAUGGGGGCAACCCUGAUACAGCAAUGCGGGGUGUGUGAAGAAGGCCUUCGGGUUGUAAAGCACUUUUGUCCGGAAAGAAAUCGCACUUACUAAUAUUAGGUGUGGAUGACGGUACCGGAAGAAUAAGGACCGGCUAACUACGUGCCAGCAGCCGCAGUAACAC